rnacentral:snRNA from 1 species
AGGCUCAGUUUGGGACCACAUAUACUAAAAAUUGGAAGGAUGCAGAGACGAUCACCAUAGCCCCUUUGCAAAGGUGACACACAAAAUUGCAAAAUAUUCCACAUUUUA